rnacentral:rRNA from 1 species
CGUCUGUGACUCCUACGGGAGGCAGCAGUGGGGAAUAUUGCACAAUGGGGGAAACCCUGAUGCAGCCAUGCCGCGUGUGUGAAGAAGGCCUUCGGGUUGUAAAGCACUUUCAGUAGGGAGGAAGGUAGUGUAGUUAACACCUGCAUUAUUUGACGUUACCUACAGAAGAAACACCGGCUAACUCCGUGCCAGCAGCCGCGGUAAUACGGAGGGUGCGAGCGUUAAUCGGAAUUACUGGGCGUAAAGCGCAUGCAGGCGGCCUGUUAAGUCAGAUGUGAAAGCCCGGGGCUUAACCUCGGAAUUGCAUUUGAAACUGGCAGGCUAGAGUCUUGUAGAGGGGGUAGAAUUUCAGGUGUAGCGGUGAAAUGCGUAGAGAUCUGAAGGAAUACCAGUGGCGAAGGCGGCCCCCUGGACAAAGACUGACGCUCAGAUGCGAAAGCGUGGGGAGCAAACAGGAUUAGAUACCCUGGAG